GUGAGGAAUAUUGGACAAUGGGCGCAAGCCUGAUCCAGCCAUGUCGCGUGCAGGAAGACGCAUCUAUGGUGUGUAAACUGCUUUUGUACGGGAAGAAACACUCCCUCGUGAGGGAGCUUGACGGUACCGUAAGAAUAAGGAUCGGCUAACUCCGUGCCAGCAGCCGCGGUAAUACGGAGGAUCCAAGCGUUAUCCGGAAUCAUUGGGUUUAAAGGGUCCGUAGGCGGUUUAAUAAGUCAGUGGUGAAAGCCCAUCGCUCAACGAUGGAACGGCCAUUGAUACUGUUAGACUUGAAUUACAAGGAAGUAACUAGAAUAUGUAGUGUAGCGGUGAAAUGCUUAGAUAUUACAUGGAAUACCAAUUGCGAAGGCAGGUUACUACUUGUGGAUUGACGCUGAUGGACGAAAGCGUGGGGAGCGAACAGGAUUAGAUACCCUUGUAGUCC
rnacentral:rRNA from 1 species